AUUGAACGCUGGCGGCAUGCCUUACACAUGCAAGUCGAACGGUAACAGGUCUUCGGAUGCUGACGAGUGGCGAACGGGUGAGUAAUACAUCGGAACGCGCCUAGUAGUGGGGGAUAACUACUCGAAAGAGUGGCUAAUACCGCAUGAGAUCUACGGAUGAAAGCAGGGGAUCGCAAGACCUUGUGCUACUAGAGCGGCCGAUGGCAGAUUAGGUAGUUGGUGGGAUAAAAGCUUACCAAGCCGACGAUCUGUAGCUGGUCUGAGAGGACGAUCAGCCACACCGGGACUGAGACACGGCCCAGACUCCUACGGGAGGCAGCAGUGGGGAAUUUUGGACAAUGGGCGCAAGCCUGAUCCAGCAAUGCCGCGUGCAGGAUGAAGGCCUUCAGGUUGUAAACUGCUUUUGUACGGAACGAAAAGCCCUGGGUUAAUACCCUGGGGUCAUGACGGUACCGUAAGAAUAAGCACCGGCUAACUACGCGCCAGCCGCCGCGGUAACAC
rnacentral:rRNA from 1 species